CGCGGGAUGGAGCAGUUGGUAGCUCGUCGGCUCAUAACCCGAAGGCACAGGUUCGAGUCCUGUUCCCGCUA
rnacentral:tRNA from 2 species